GACGAACGCUGGCGGCGUGCUUAACACAUGCAAGUCGAACGGAAAGGCCCUUCUUUUGUGGGGUGCUCGAGUGGCGAACGGGUGAGUAGCACGUGAGUAACCUGCCCUUGACUUUGGGAUAACUUCAGGAAACUUGGGCUAAUACCGGAUAGGAGCUCCUGCUGCAUGUUGGGGGUUGGAAAGUUUCGGCGGUUGGGGAUGGACUCGCGGCUUAUCAGCUUGUUGGUGGGGUAGUGGCUUACCAAGGCUUUGACGGGUAGCCGGCCUGAGAGGGUGACCGGCCACAUUGGGACUGAGAUACGGCCCAGACUCCUACGGGAGGCAGAAGUGGGGAAUAUUGAACAAUGGGCGGAAGCAUGAUGCAGCAACGCCGCGUGCGGGAUGACGGCCUUCGGGUUGUAAACCGCUUUCGCCUGUGACGAAGCGUGAGUGACGGUAAUGGGUAAAGAAGCACCGGCUAAAUACGUG
rnacentral:rRNA from 1 species